AGGACGAGCGCUGGCGGCGUGCUUAACACAUGCAAGUCGAGCGGAAAGGCCCCUCGGGGUACUCGAGCGGCGAACGGGUGAGUAACACGUGAGUAAUCUGCCCCUAGCUCUGGGAUAGCUCCGGGAAACCGGGAUUAAUACCGGAUACGACCACUACGGACAUCUGUGGUGGUGGAAAGAACUUCGGCUAGGGAUGAGCUCGCGGCCUAUCAGCUUGUUGGUGGGGUAACGGCCUACCAAGGCGACGACGGGUA
rnacentral:rRNA from 1 species